GAUGAACGCUGGCGGCGUGCUUAACACAUGCAAGUCGAACGGGCGGACCCUGCGCUUGUGGGUUUCUCGUGUGGGGAACGGGUGAGUAUCACGUGUGUAACCUGCCCUUGUCUGUGGGGUAUAUUCUGGAAACAGCGGCGAUUACCCGGUAGAAUCUCCUGCUGCGUAGUGGUGGAUGGUAAAUGUCGGCGGUUGGGGAUCGUCUCGCGGCUUACCCGCUUGUUGGGCGGGUAGGUACUUACAAAGGCUUUGAAGGGUAGGCGGCCUGAGCGGGUGACCGGCCACAUUGGGACUGAGAGACGGAGCAGACGCCUACGGGACGCAGCAGUGGGGAAUAUUGCACAAUGGGCGGAAGCCUGAGGCAGCAACGCCGCGUGCGGGAUGACGGGCUUCGGGUUGUAAACCGAUUUCGCCGGUGACGAAGCGUGAGUGACGGUAAUGGGUAAAGAAGCACCGGCUAACUACGUG
rnacentral:rRNA from 1 species